rnacentral:rRNA from 1 species
GAUGAACGCUGGCGGCGUGCCUAAUACAUGCAAGUCGAGCGAAUGGAUUAAGAGCUUGCUCUUAUGAAGUUAGCGGCGGACGGGUGAGUAACACGUGGGUAACCUGCCCAUAAGACUGGGAUAACUCCGGGAAACCGGGGCUAAUACCGGAUAACAUUCUGAACUGCAUGGUUCAAAAUUGAAAGGCGGCUUCGGCUGUCACUUAUGGAUGGACCCGCGUCGCAUUAGCUAGUUGGUGAGGUAACGGCUCACCAAGGCAACGAUGCGUAGCCGACCUGAGAGGGUGAUCGGCCACACUGGGACUGAGACACGGCCCAGACUCCUACGGGAGGCAGCAGUAGGGAAUCUUCCGCAAUGGACGAAAGUCUGACGGAGCAACGCCGCGUGAGUGAUGAAGGCUUUCGGGUCGUAAAACUCUGUUGUUAGGGAAGAACAAGUGCUAGUUGAAUAAGCUGGCACCUUGACGGUACCUAACCAGAAAGCCACGGCUAACUACGUGCCAGCAGCCGCGGUAA